AGAAUCAACGCUGGCGGCGUGCCUAACACAUGCAAGUCGCACGAGAAAGGGACUUCGGUCCUGAGUACAGUGGCGCACGGGUGAGUAACACGUGAAUAAUCUACCUCCGAGUGGGGAAUAACUGAGAGAAAUCUUAGCUAAUACCGCAUAACACUUACGAGUCAAAGCAGCAAUGCGCUUGGAGAGGAGUUCGCGGCCGAUUAGUUAGUUGGCGGGGUAAUGGCCCACCAAGACGAUGAUCGGUA
rnacentral:rRNA from 1 species